rnacentral:rRNA from 1 species
UACGGAGGGGGCUAGCGUUGUUCGGAAUUACUGGGCGUAAAGCGCACGUAGGCGGACCGGAAAGUUGGAGGUGAAAUCCCAGGGCUCAACCUUGGAACUGCCUUCAAAACUAUCGGUCUGGAGUUCGGGAGAGGUGAGUGGAAUUCCGAGUGUAGAGGUGAAAUUCGUAGAUAUUCGGAGGAACACCAGUGGCGAAGGCGGCUCACUGGCUCGAUACUGACGCUGAGGUGCGAAAGCGUGGGGAGCAAACAGG